AAGGUGGUGAAGAUGUUGGCGAAAACGACACAUACCGGCAAGCCGAAAAUACGAGUGUUAUUGGCAAUGUCAUGAACGGUUUAGGCAAGUGGGUCAAUGGGAGUUUUGGACGUUUUUAGUAACCGGAUAUCAAGAACACACGAUUUUUUUCAAUAAUACACAUAUCAUAAUAAUAUAUGAAAUAUAAUUACCACACAAUUGUUCAACUUACAUAAUACUUAUAAUAAAC